CCUAAACGUAAAUCACUAAAGGAAAAAAAAAUAAAUUAAAAGGCAUUAAGUAGGACUUCAUGAACAUGUCGGUGUCGGAUAUCUCUGGCUCUCCUUAAAUACUAUUAUUAUUAUUAUUUUUAAUCUUUCCGUUUGGUCCAACUCUGAGUUGAGCUUAAUAAGAUUUCGCUAGUUUUUCCUCCUGAAACUGAUCGAGUGAAAGUUGUAAAUUUGCACGUGAUGCACCUGAGGCGACCGCAAGGGGCUGAAGCGGUAUGGACUGAGGAGGAAGAGACUGAACCCUUCAAAAUUCAAAUCAAAUCCAAACGUUCAGAAAAUAAUUUAGACCCAAAGUUUAGGAAAAAGAAAAGAAAAAAUUAAAAUCAUACCGUUACCUGACCACCGCCUUAUAUCAUACAUAGAGAUUAGGUUUAGUUUUUCUUCUUCUCCAAUAUCCAGAAGCUUCACCCAGCUACCUCUGUACGUCAGAUGUUACUUCAGAUAGAUGAAUGCCACAGACUUUUUCCGCCUCCUACAUCAUUACAAUUUUCCGAUAUCAUAUCCAAGUAGGAGUGACUCUAGUGUCUGCACAAAAAGAGUCUUUUUGUUUUGUUCCCUUCAGAACUUGAGGCUAACAUUUAAUCUGCAAAUUUGGGGGGUUAAAGAAGGAUUUGAUAGUCCAUCUUCUUCAGAGCAUUGAGUUGGCUGUCUGCGACGCCCAUUACAGAUUACAAUUGCUUCUAAAGGUUCCAGUUCCAAUUCCAAUGGGUCUGUGCAAUCGAAGAGAAGGCUCACGCAUAUGAUAGCCCCAAGCUCUUUCUUGGUUGAAUUGGAGACUGUGGAUGCUUUCUUCUCUUGGUAUACUUGAUUUUGGAGAAAAUCGUGCCGCUGCAUUGGUCAAACUGAAAGAUUGCUUGUCAAAAAUUUCUGGACUUGUGCUGACCAAUGGAGAUAAAAUGUUCAUUAGAGAAGGGCUACAAUUUUUUUUUGCUCGAUGGACUCGUCUAAGCUUAAUAAUCAAUAUGAAUGGGUAAGGGGGUGUAUAGAGAAGAGAUUGUAGGUGAAUGCCAUUAGUUAAGAAUUAGACUGGCCGAAUAAUUUCCAUUGCGUCCAAGUAUGGUAGUUUCUCUUGGAUUUAUUCAUUUCACAUUGGUUUCAUGUAUGGGCUUUGCUUCUUUCAAACAUUUAUUGAAAUUCGGAUGACAUGGACCCACACCAAAGGAUAUGUUUUUUAUAUUUGUUUUGUUCGUAAC